rnacentral:rRNA from 1 species
ACUCCUACGGGAGGCAGCAGUGGGGAAUAUUGGACAAUGGGGGCAACCCUGAUCCAGCCAUGCCGCGUGAGUGAAGAAGGCCCUAGGGUCGUAAAGCUCUUUCAACUGUGAAGAUAAUGACGGUAGCAAGUAGGAAGAAAAUCCCCGGNUAACUCCGUGCCAGCAGCCGCGGUAAUACGGAGGGGGUUAGCGUUGUUCGGAAUUACUGGGCGUAAAGCGCACGUAGGCGGACUAUUAAGUUAGAGGUGAAAUCCCAGGGCUCAACCCUGGAACUGCCUUUAAUACUGGUAGUCUUGAGUUCGAGAGAGGUGAG